UAUUAUUAUUAAUUUAUUAUUUAGAGUCUCC
rnacentral:piRNA from 1 species